rnacentral:rRNA from 1 species
AUUGAACGCUGGCGGCAUGCCUUACACAUGCAAGUCGAACGGCAGCACGGGGCAACCUGGUGGCGAGUGGCGAACGGGUGAGUAAUGCAUCGGAACGUGCCAUUGAGUGGGGGAUAACGUAGCGAAAGUUGCGCUAAUACCGCAUAUUCUGUGAGCAGGAAAGCAGGGGACCGCAAGGCCUUGCGCUCUUUGAGCGUCCGAUGUCAGAUUAGCUAGUUGGUGAGGUAACGGCUUACCAAGGCGACGAUCUGUAGCGGGUCUGAGAGGAUGAUCCGCCACACUGGAACUGAGACACGGUCCAGACUCCUACGGGAGGCAGCAGUGGGGAAUUUUGGACAAUGGGCGCAAGCCUGAUCCAGCCAUGCCGCGUGAGUGAAGAAGGCC